GGUUAAUUGAUGAUGUUAGCUUAUGCAAAGCAUCUGAUCGAAGCCCGAGUAAACGGCGGCCGUAACUAUAACGGUCCUAAGGUAGCGAAAUUCCUUGUCGGUUAAAUACCGACCUGCAUGAAUGGCGUAACGAGAUGGGAGCUGUCUCAAAGAGGGAUCCAGUGAAAUUGUAGUGGAGGUGAAAAUUCCUCCUACCCGCGGCAAGACGGAAAGACCCCGUGGACCUUUACUACAGCUUGACACUGCUAUUGGGAUAAAAAUGUGCAGGAUAGGUGGGAGGCUUUGAUCCAUAGACGCCAGUUUAUGGUGAGCCAUUGUUGAGAUACCACUCUUCUUUAUUCGGGUAGCUAACUAGCCUAAGUUAUCCUUAGGUAGGACAAUGUCUGGUGGGUAGUUUGACUGGGGCGGUCGCCUCCCAAAAUGUAACGGAGGCUUACAAAGGUUGGCUCAAAGCGGUUGGAAAUCGCUUGCAGAGUAUAAAGGCAAAAGCCAGCUUAACUGCGAGACAUACACGUCGAGCAGAGACGAAAGUCGGUCUUAGUGAUCCGGUGGUUCUGUGUGGAAGGGCCAUCGCUCAAAGGAUAAAAGGUACCCCGGGGAUAACAGGCUGAUCUCCCCCAAGAGCUCACAUCGACGGGGAGGUUUGGCACCUCGAUGUCGGCUCAUCGCAUCCUGGGGCUGGAGCAGGUCCCAAGGGUAUGGCCGUUCGCCAUUUAAAGCGGUACGCGAGCUGGGUUCAGAACGUCGUGAGACAGUUCGGUCCCUAUCUGCCGUGGGCGUAAGAAGAUUGAGGAGAGUUGACCCUAGUACGAGAGGACCGGGUUGAACCGACCACUGGUGUACCGGUUGUUCUGCCAAGAGCACCGCCGGGUAGCUAAGUUAGGAUGUGAUAAGAGCUGAAAGCAUCUAAGCUCGAAGCCGACUCCAAGAUAAAUCUUCUUUUAAGAGCUCUAGUAGACUACUAGUUUGAUAGGCCGGAUGUGUAAUGGAUGAAAGUCCUUUAGCUGACCGGUACUAAUAGCUCGUUUGCUUAUCUUU
rnacentral:rRNA from 1 species